rnacentral:rRNA from 1 species
UUCAACGCCUGGCGGCGUGGCCUAACACAUGCAAGUCGAACGAGAAAGCGGGGGCAACCCGUGAGUAAAAGUGGCGACCGGGUGAGUAACACCGUGACUAACCUACCCUUGAGUUGGGGAAUAACCCCGGGAAACCGGGGCUAAUACCGCAUAACACCGUAAGGUCAAAGGGAGCAAUUCGCUUAAGGAGGGGCGCGGGUCGCGGCCUGAUUAGCUAGUUGGUGGGGUAAUGGCCCACCAAGGCGAUGAUCGGUAGCCGGCCUGAGAGGGCGCACGGCCACACUGGAACUGAAGCACGGUCCAGACUCCUACGGGGAAGGCAGCAGUGGGGAAUUUUGCGCAAUGGGGGGAAACCCUGACUGCAGCAACGCCGCGUGGAGGAUGAAGUCCUUUGGGAUGUAAACCUCCUUUUCGACCGGGACGAUGAUGACGGUAACCGGUGGAAGAAAGCCCCCGGCUAACUUCGUGCCAGCAGCCGCGGUAAUACGAGGGGGGCAAGCGUUUGUUCGGAAUUAUUGGGGCGUAAAGGGCGCGUAGGCGGUGCGGUAAGUCACCUGUGAAAACCUCUGGGCUUAACUCAGAGCCUGCAGGCGAACUGCCGUGCUGGAGUGUGGGGAGGAGGGUGCGUGGAAUUCCCGGUGUAGCGGUGAAAAUGCGUAGAUAUCGGGAGGAACACCUGUGGCGCGAAAGCGGCGCACUGGACCACAACUGACGCUGAAGGCGCGAAAGCUAGGGGAGCAAACAGGAUUAGAUGCCCUGGUAGUCCUAGCCCUAAACGAUGGAUGCUUGGUGUAGCCCGGUACCCAAUCCGGGCCGUGCCGAAGCUAACGCGAUAAGCAUCCCGCCUGGGGAGUACGGUCGCAAGGCUGAAACUCAAAGGAAUUGAACGGGGGGCCCGCACAAGCGGUGGAGCAUGUUGGUUCAAUUCGACGCAAACGCGGGAGAAACCUUAACCUGGGCUCGAAGCGCAGUGGGCCGGGGUAGAAAUAUCCCUUUCCUCGCAAGAGACUGCUGCGGAGGUGCUGCAUGGCUGUCGGUCAGCUCGUGUCGUGAGAUGUUUGGGUUAAGUCCCGCAACGAGCGCGCAACCCUUAUCUCUAGUUGCCAUCAGGUCAAGCCUGGGCACUCUAGCGAAACCGCCCCGGAUAACGGGGAGGAAAGGUGGGGAUGAACGUCAAGUCCUCAUGGCCUUUUAUGUCCAGGGCUACACACGUGCUACAAUGGUCGGUACAAAACCGUCGCAAACCCGCGAGGGGGAGCUAAUCGGGAAAAAGCCGGCCCUCAGUUCGGAUUGGAGUCUGCAAACUCGACUCCAUGAAGCUGGAAAUCGCUAGUAAUCGCAGAUCAGCACGCUUGCGGUGAAUACGUUCCCGGGCCUUGUACACACCGCCCGUCCACAUCACGAAAGUUGGACUGCACUAGAAGUCGGUAUGCUACAACCCGCAAGGGGGGUAGCCGGCCCAAGGUAUGGUUUCAUGAUUGCGGUG